UUAAGCGAAUAAGCGUACACGGUGGAUGCCCUGGCAGUCAGAGGCGAUGAAGGACGUGCUAAUCUGCGAUAAGCGUCGGUAAGGUGAUAUGAACCGUUAUAACCGGCGAUUUCCGAAUGGGGAAACCCAGUGUGAUUCGUCACACUAUCAUUAACUGAAUCCAUAGGUUAAUGAGGCGAACCGGGGGAACUGAAACAUCUAAGUACCCCGAGGAAAAGAAAUCAACCGAGAUUCCCCAGUAGCGGCGAGCGAACGGGGAGGAGCCCAGAGCCUGAAUCAGUGUGUGUGUUAGUGGAAGCGUCUGGAAAGGCGCGCGAUACAGGGUGACAGCCCCGUACACAAAAAUGCACAUGCUGUGAGCUCGAUGAGUAGGGCGGGACACGUGGUAUCCUGUCUGAAUAUGGGGGGACCAUCCUCCAAGGCUAAAUACUCCUGACUGACCGAUAGUGAACCAGUACCGUGAGGGAAAGGCGAAAAGAACCCCGGCGAGGGGAGUGAAAAAGAACCUGAAACCGUGUACGUACAAGCAGUGGGAGCACAGAGCAAUCUGUGUGACUGCGUACCUUUUGUAUAAUGGGUCAGCGACUUAUAUUCUGUAGCAAGGUUAACCGAAUAGGGGAGCCGAAGGGAAACCGAGUCUUAACUGGGCGUUAAGUUGCAGGGUAUAGACCCGAAACCCGGUGAUCUAGCCAUGGGCAGGUUGAAGGUUGGGUAACACUAACUGGAGGACCGAACCGACUAAUGUUGAAAAAUUAGCGGAUGACUUGUGGCUGGGGGUGAAAGGCCAAUCAAACCGGGAGAUAGCUGGUUCUCCCCGAAAGCUAUUUAGGUAGCGCCUCGUGAAUUCAUCUCCGGGGGUAGAGCACUGUUUCGGCAAGGGGGUCAUCCCGACUUACCAACCCGAUGCAAACUGCGAAUACCGGAGAAUGUUAUCACGGGAGACACACGGCGGGUGCUAACGUCCGUCGUGAAGAGGGAAACAACCCAGACCGCCAGCUAAGGUCCCAAAGUCAUGGUUAAGUGGGAAACGAUGUGGGAAGGCCCAGACAGCCAGGAUGUUGGCUUAGAAGCAGCCAUCAUUUAAAGAAAGCGUAAUAGCUCACUGGUCGAGUCGGCCUGCGCGGAAGAUGUAACGGGGCUAAACCAUGCACCGAAGCUGCGGCAGCGACGCUGAUGCGUUGUUGGGUAGGGGAGCGUUCUGUAAGCCUGUGAAGGUGUGCUGUGAGGCAUGCUGGAGGUAUCAGAAGUGCGAAUGCUGACAUAAGUAACGAUAAAGCGGGUGAAAAGCCCGCUCGCCGGAAGACCAAGGGUUCCUGUCCAACGUUAAUCGGGGCAGGGUGAGUCGACCCCUAAGGCGAGGCCGAAAGGCGUAGUCGAUGGGAAACAGGUUAAUAUUCCUGUACUUGGUGUUACUGCGAAGGGGGGACGGAGAAGGCUAUGUUGGCCGGGCGACGGUUGUCCCGGUUUAAGCGUGUAGGCUGGUUUUCCAGGCAAAUCCGGAAAACUAAGGCUGAGGCGUGAUGACGAGGCACUACGGUGCUGAAGCAACAAAUGCCCUGCUUCCAGGAAAAGCCUCUAAGCAUCAGGUAACAUCAAAUCGUACCCCAAACCGACACAGGUGGUCAGGUAGAGAAUACCAAGGCGCUUGAGAGAACUCGGGUGAAGGAACUAGGCAAAAUGGUGCCGUAACUUCGGGAGAAGGCACGCUGAUAUGUAGGUGAAGUCCCUCGCGGAUGGAGCUGAAAUCAGUCGAAGAUACCAGCUGGCUGCAACUGUUUAUUAAAAACACAGCACUGUGCAAACACGAAAGUGGACGUAUACGGUGUGACGCCUGCCCGGUGCCGGAAGGUUAAUUGAUGGGGUCAGCGCAAGCGAAGCUCUUGAUCGAAGCCCCGGUAAACGGCGGCCGUAACUAUAACGGUCCUAAGGUAGCGAAAUUCCUUGUCGGGUAAGUUCCGACCUGCACGAAUGGCGUAAUGAUGGCCAGGCUGUCUCCACCCGAGACUCAGUGAAAUUGAACUCGCUGUGAAGAUGCAGUGUACCCGCGGCAAGACGGAAAGACCCCGUGAACCUUUACUAUAGCUUGACACUGAACAUUGAGCCUUGAUGUGUAGGAUAGGUGGGAGGCUUUGAAGUGUGGACGCCAGUCUGCAUGGAGCCGACCUUGAAAUACCACCCUUUAAUGUUUGAUGUUCUAACGUUGACCCGUAAUCCGGGUUGCGGACAGUGUCUGGUGGGUAGUUUGACUGGGGCGGUCUCCUCCUAAAGAGUAACGGAGGAGCACGAAGGUUGGCUAAUCCUGGUCGGACAUCAGGAGGUUAGUGCAAUGGCAUAAGCCAGCUUGACUGCGAGCGUGACGGCGCGAGCAGGUGCGAAAGCAGGUCAUAGUGAUCCGGUGGUUCUGAAUGGAAGGGCCAUCGCUCAACGGAUAAAAGGUACUCCGGGGAUAACAGGCUGAUACCGCCCAAGAGUUCAUAUCGACGGCGGUGUUUGGCACCUCGAUGUCGGCUCAUCACAUCCUGGGGCUGAAGUAGGUCCCAAGGGUAUGGCUGUUCGCCAUUUAAAGUGGUACGCGAGCUGGGUUUAGAACGUCGUGAGACAGUUCGGUCCCUAUCUGCCGUGGGCGCUGGAGAACUGAGGGGGGCUGCUCCUAGUACGAGAGGACCGGAGUGGACGCAUCACUGGUGUUCGGGUUGUCAUGCCAAUGGCACUGCCCGGUAGCUAAAUGCGGAAGAGAUAAGUGCUGAAAGCAUCUAAGCACGAAACUUGCCCCGAGAUGAGUUCUCCCUGACUCCUUGAGAGUCCUGAAGGAACGUUGAAGACGACGACGUUGAUAGGCCGGGUGUGUAAGCGCAGCGAUGCGUUGAGCUAACCGGUACUAAUGAACCGUGAGGCUUAACCUU
rnacentral:rRNA from 1 species